GUGGAGUUUAUUUUGUCUUUUUAACUAAUACACAAAUUAAUCUAUUUCUUGCUUAUGUAAUAAUUCAGAGUAUAUGAGAAAGAAUGGGUCAAGCCUGUUGGGAUGAAGGAGCUUUGCUGUCAUUAACAUGCAGCUUUCAAAUACACCUGGGUUUUCACAUUCGCAACAUCUGCAAAAGGCAAGAACACAGAGGGACACAGAGGAGGGAUUUGUGGUUCCGGCUAGGGGAGGGGCACACGUCCUCUCCACUCAUGGCCAUUGUGAGACUCAUAACGGCAGGGUCAGACCCACCACAAGAGCAGCCGAUGAACAUCAUCUAGGAGGAUGUCCAGGUGAAAGGAGCCGGCUUGCAGUCUCUGCUCCAUUUACAGAGAGGACCCUUGUAGACACCCAGUGACUCCUCAUGCUCGAAACACAAUACCUGAAGCAUAUUGUGCUAUCUAUGAAAACGUAGGCCCUAUUUGUUCACAAAACAUGACACACAGUAGAUGCUUCUUGUUUGUUUAAUGGAUGGAUAAACGUACAAACACCAAGCAUGGACUACAUCUCUAUUCUUUUUUUGUUUUUCUAAUUUCUCAGCAAAUCUGAAUCUACAAGACCUGCAGUGUGGACGUGAGGGAAUGCCCCCAGCUCGGGAUCCAACAGCGAGCGGAGACUCUUCAGGCUCUUCAGGCUGUGUCUUGUGCAUCCCUUCACAUAAGGAGAUCGCUGCUGCUGGAACCCAUCAGUUCCAUCAAGAUGUGUGUUGUCUUGGAUACCCCAAGAAAUUGGAGAAUUCUUUCCCCUUUCCACAUGCCUUUCCAUUACAUUUGGUCACUACUACUAAACCCGCUUUGUGCCCAGAGCACCCAAAGGAAGAAAGUCUCAGCGUCAUGAAUAUUUACUACAUGCACGUCCGCUUGAAAAGGGGGGUGGCUGUCUCAUGUGGUGCAGAGAACGGAAUGGAGCCUCGCUCAAAGAAGACAAAAAAAUGACCUUUCUUGAAAAGACCCCUGCAAAAGCCACCCACUCUCAUGUGUCUAUGAAUGAACUGCUGUCUGACAGUGAGUCCAGCAGCGACAACAAAGCCCAAGAGGAAAGGGAGGAGGUUGAGGGUCCAGCAGAGCCUCCAGCUCCACAGGAGUGUUCCAGGCCCCAGACGCCCGAAUGGCUGGUGGCCCUGGAGAGCGGCUCCAGGUGCGUGGGCUGCUGCCAGGUCUUCCCCACCUUAGAGGUCCUCAAGCAGCACGUGCAGAA
rnacentral:lncRNA from 1 species